rnacentral:lncRNA from 1 species
AUGAGGGGGAUUUCUCCUCCUAACUCAUCCACCUUUGUCAAGUGCUGUGGUAUUUUUACAAUAGAGCUAGUACUCCUGGAGGGAAGUAUAGCACAAGGACUGUUGGACAAACAUCAUACCCUCAGGAACAGCACUCUGUCCUCUUGGACAUUGACAUAUUUUUACCACAGAGACUCAAUGUUUACCUGAAGAAUGACAUUGUUUCUCCAUUUGUUUGCCUCCUGCAGUGACCCUUUGGCCUUUACAUGGACAGGUGAGACACCUGAUGUCUCCUCUCUCCACAACACUGUCUUUCUUAGGGCACUUCCUCCUUCAGCCUCUCUUGCAGCUGCAUGGCAAGGUCAGUGCUCAUAGGAAAUCAUGGGAACCUGCUGGCCUGACAGUCAGCAGAGAAACCUCUGAAGGAGCUGACAAUGCAGUCUAGUCAAAGGCCUUGCUCUUGUGCUCCUCUGUUUUCUUUCACGUUGCCCUUCCUGAUCCAUUUUUCUUUUGCUAAAGGAAGCUGUGGCACAUAACAUGGACAUAAAGCCUCCCCUGCUUUAGUGUUUGCUUCACAUUCCAUUUCUCCCAUCCUAGCAGGAAGGCAAACUCCACAGUAUAUUGCAAAGACAGAGAGUACUUUGGACCUGAUUAACAUAAGAGAUUUGAUAAUCAGGAUGCCUUGGCAAGAACAAACGGAGCUUUGAAGAUUGCAAGAAGAUUGAAUCAAUUUCUGCAAGUAGAAGAGACAUUGCAAAAAUGUAUGAGAUUGUUUGUAUGACGAUUAACCCAAUCAUUGUAAAAAAAUACUAGCCUUUCUACAAUGGCAUAUAAGCAUAGGAUUACAGGUCAUAGGAGAGAUUUUGGGGACAUAGAGCUAAAAAGGUGAAUGGAUAUGAUGCUCAUCUUUUCCACUUAAUUUAGGAAGGGGAGCCUUUUCAGGAAAAAGUAUGGAAUAAGUAGUCUCUGUAGAUGAUGUCACCAUAAGGUGCUAGUAUGCAGGCCCAUCCCACUGAUCAUACUGUGCAGGAAUUACAGUGAUAUUAAAAUAACACUGGAAAAGAGUACACACUUCCAUGACACAUAAACAUACUUUGGCGGUACUUGCACCUCUAAAAAUAGGCUAAUAGUGGUUUUGCGUGUCCUUAAAUAAUCAAAGGAAUAAACUAGCAGCGUGAGGGGAAUGCA